GAUGAACGCUGGCGGCGUGCCUAAUACAUGCAAGUCGAGCGAACAGACGAGGAGCUUGCUCCUCUGACGUUAGCGGCGGACGGGUGAGUAACACGUGGAUAACCUACCUAUAAGACUGGGAUAACUUCGGGAAACCGGAGCUAAUACCGGAUAAUAUAUUGAACCGCAUGGUUCAAUAGUGAAAGACGGUUUUGCUGUCACUUAUAGAUGGAUCCGCGCCGCAUUAGCUAGUUGGUAAGGUAACGGCUUACCAAGGCAACGAUGCGUAGCCGACCUGAGAGGGUGAUCGGCAACACUGGAACUGAGACACGGUCCAGACUCCUACGGGAGGAAGCAGUAGGGAAUCUUCCGCAAUGGGCGAAAGCCUGACGGAGCAACGCCGCGUGAGUGAUGAAGGUCUUCGGAUCGUAAAACUCUGUUAUUAGGGAAGAAAAAAUGUGUAAGUAACUAUGCACGUCUUGACGGUACCUAAUCAGAAAGCCACGGCUAACUACGUG
rnacentral:rRNA from 1 species